UACGAAGGGGGCUAGCGUUGCUCGGAAUGACUGGGCGUAAAGGGCGCGUAGGCGGUUCGUACAGUCAGACGUGAAAUUCCCGGGCUCAACCUGGGGACUGCGUUUGAUACGUGCGGGCUUGAGUUCGGAAGAGGGUCGUGGAAUUCCCAGUGUAGAGGUGAAAUUCGUAGAUAUUGGGAAGAACACCGGUGGCGAAGGCGGCUCACUGGCUCAUUACUGACGCUCAGGCGCGAUAGCGUGGGGAUCAAACAGG
rnacentral:rRNA from 1 species